rnacentral:rRNA from 2 species
UAGGGAAUCUUCGGCAAUGGGGGGAACCCUGACCGAGCAACGCCGCGUGAGUGAAGAAGGUUUUCGGAUCGUAAAGCUCUGUUGUUAAGGAAGAACGAGUGUGAGAAUGGAAAGUUCAUGCUGUGACGGUACUUAACCAGAAAGGGACGGCUAACUACGUGCCAGCAGCCGCGGUAAUACGUAGGUCCCGAGCGUUGUCCGGAUUUAUUGGGCGUAAAGCGAGCGCAGGCGGUUAGAAAAGUCUGAAGUGAAAGGCAGUGGCUCAACCAUUGUAGGCUUUGGAAACUGUUUAACUUGAGUGCAGAAGGGGAGAGUGGAAUUCCAUGUGUAGCGGUAAAAUGCGUAGAUAUAUGGAGGAACACCGGUGGCGAAAGCGGCUCUCUGGUCUGUAACUGACGCUGAGGCUCGAAAGCGUGGGGAGCGAACAGG